UAACUUUACUGCUUUACCACAAGAUGCAAACAGCUGCAGGAGGCAAAGGGUCUGAAAGGGUCGUUGCAAUGUUUAUUUUUGUAAGGUCAUUCGGGAGCAACACGAUGAUGGCAGAAUCUGCUAAAUGCCACAUGAUUUUUUUUUCAAAAUGUGCACGGAAGAUGAACUGGAUGAACGACAGCGCACACAAUGACCGUGGAACACAAUCAAACUACCAUCCCUUUACAGAACAGCACGGUGGAAUAUCACUUAAUUAAACAGCCAAAGACAUGGAAGGAGGCUCAACAAUACUGCAGAGAUCGAUAUAUAGACCUGG